rnacentral:rRNA from 1 species
AGAGUUUGAUCAUGGCUCAGGAUGAACGCUGGCGGUAUGCCUAACACAUGCCAAGUCGUACGAGAGUUUUUAACUCUAGUGGCGGACGGGUGAGUAACACGUAAGAAUUUACCUUCAGGAGGGGGAUAACAAUUGGAAACAAAUGCUAAUACCCCAUAUGCUUUCGAGUGAAAUGGAUUUAUAUUUAUCCGCCUAAAGAGAAGCUUGCGUCUGAUUAGCUUGUUGGUAAGGUAAAAGCUUACCAAGGCGACGAUCAGUAUCUGGUUUGAGAGGACGAUCAGACACACUGGAACUNACACNCNGUCCAGACUCCUACGGGAGGCAGCAGUGGGGAAUUUUCCGCAAUGGGCGAAAGCCUGACGGAGCAAUACCGCGUGAGGGAAGACUGCCUAUGGGUUGUAAACCUCUUUUUUCAGGGAGGAACAAAA